AAGCGGGGGCGGGGCCCGGAGGGAGUCUGGGAGGGCCCGAAAGUUUGCCCAAGUCGCUGGGGCGGCCGGCCGGGGUGCAAGCAGUCGGGCCGGGCUCCCACGACCCCCGCGCGGGGCGGGCCCAGGCAGGAAGUGGGCGCACUUACUGGCCCCCUCGAUCUUGUCGGCGCCCCGGCUCCACGUGAUCUGGCGCGUCUCCAGCUUGACCUGGAAGGUCUUCCGCUCGGGUCGCUGCGACUUCUUGGAGUAGAACAAAGUCAUGACGGUGCCCACCUCGAGGCUGCGGCAGACGGCACAGGCCAGGACCGCCCGGGAGCAAGCGCAACGGCGGCGGCUGAGCACCGCCAAAAUUGAGGACACCCACGGUCGCGGUGGAGCCUGUCUGACAUGUUGAGCCAGGCAGUGGGUCGGCUGCCAGGCACAGCAGGACAACUUACUGCAUUUCAGAGGAAUGAUGGUCCACAAUUUACUGAUGAGGAAACAGAGAUUCAGAGAAGUUCUACAAUUUGCCCCAAAGCCACAUAACAUGACUAGGUGGGAACUAGAACCCAAGUCGGCCUGACUCCAUGAGUUUUCUGCCUCACAGGAGAUCCACUGGCUUAGAGUUUCUCUCUCGUCGCCCAGGCUGGCGUGCAAUGGCACAAUCUUGGCUCACUGCAAUCUCCGCCUCCCGAGUUCAAGCAGUCCUGCCUCAGCCUCCUGAGUCUCUUUUGAUUUGGUGCUGUCACAGGUUGGGUUCUUUGGAUGUGGACUCUGUGACAGGAUAUGGACUUUGGAUCCUCUUUGGCUGGCUGGGCUUCUGCACCAAGGAUCUAGGAUUCUCUCAAAUAAGCUGAGAUGGAGGUGGAGGCAGAAGCCGGAAACCAGCCAAGUAACCUUGUUAUCAUGCCGGACUUCUUUCCACUUAUGUCCUGGAGGAGGAGAAGGAACCUUGGCAUCUCUGGAAAUAACAGAGCACGAGGAUAGUGAAAUAAGAGGCCCCAAAGUGUGAAAGUGGUGAUGUUGGCAAUUUGGAUAUGCCAUACAGAAGCUGCACAGAGUGCUUUAAAUGAAAAGGUGGAAAUUAUCGACUUAAUAAAAAAAACUGUAUGGUGAAGUUGCUAAGAUCUAAGGCAGCCUGUAGAAGAAAAAUGACAUCCCAGCUGGAUACCAGAAAGAUCCUUCAGUAAUGAGGAUGGCCAAGGCUGGAAGAUGGAGAUGGAUGAGCAUCACAAGAUUCCAGAGUAAAAUAGAUCAAAGAGCAGGGAGGUACAUGGCCAAUAUGAUUUCAUCUGUCUUAAAUCCUUAAUAUCCAGUAGCCACUGUGGGACAGGUCUGCCCAUCCUUAAUUACUAUAUUAUUGGCUGGAGUUACUGACUGGUUUUUAGGUCACUGAAGCACCAAGAUUCCUGUACAGAGCUACUGAGCAAAGUACUUGUUCACAAUUUUCAGUCUAACUAAAACCUUUAAGAAAAUUUAGACUUUGAGAACUCUAAGUCUUUAGCAUAGAAUGAUGUGAAAUUACUGAUGUUAAUGUUGUGUCAUAAGAACCAAGAAGAAAGUUAAAUGAACCAAUCACAAUUCCAGAAUUCUCCAGAGGUUUAAUAAAUUCUGUAGUACCAGUUUCU
rnacentral:lncRNA from 1 species